GACAGAGGGUGCAGACGUUGUUCGGAAUUACUGGGCGUAAAGCGCGUGUAGGCUGCUCAGAAAGUCGGACGUGAAAGCCCUGGGCUUAACCUAGGAAGUGCAUUCGAAACUUCUGAGCUUGAGUUCUGGAGAGGAAGGCGGAAUUCUCGGUGUAGAGGUGAAAUUCGUAGAUAUCGAGAGGAACACCGGUGGCGAAGGCGGCCUUCUGGACAGUGACUGACGCUGAGACGCGAAAGCGUGGGGAGCAAACAGG
rnacentral:rRNA from 1 species